rnacentral:tRNA from 1 species
GGAGGAUUCGCCUAGUGGCCUAGGGCGCACGCUUGGAAAGCGUGUUGGGAUAAAACCCUCACGAGUUCGAAUCUCGUAUCCUCCGCC